GCGAAUGUGGCUUAGUGGUAGAGUGCUUGCUUGCCAUGCAUGAAGUUCUAGGUUCAAUUCCUCAGUACCA
rnacentral:tRNA from 1 species